UGAGCUGCCAAAAUUGAGGUGGCUCAAUUGUACUGGCAACACAAGGGUGAAUUAUUUCUUGCUCAGUGGGCCCAUGAGACCUCAGGCCAUCAAAGAAGAGAUACAACAUAUAAGUGGGCUAGAGACCAAGGCAUGGACUUAACUAUGGAUGCUAUUGCACAGGUUAUUCAUGACUGUGAAACGUGCCAUAAUUAAACAAGCCAAGAGGAUGAAACCUCUCUGCGGAGAAGGAUGACGGCAAAACUAUAAAUAUGGAAGAGAAGAACUACACAUCCCAGAUGACUUCAUGUUCAGAGAGGAAAACAAGCCAUGGGAGAAUGUUAUGAUAUCUCACUCUCUGGCUCUUUCACUCGCUGCCUGGAAGUGUGUGGGUGUGCUCCCCAGCUGGUGCGCCUUCAUUUCAAUGCUGGGUCAGAAUAUGAAGUCAUUAUGGAUCUCAGCAUAAACACUAUUCCAAUCACUAGUUUUGAUCAUAUACUUAAUCUUUCCUGAGUCAGAGAGGUUAUGGAACAACCAUGCCCAUUCCCAUGAUUCAUCCUGGAAGAAAGUUUAUAUACUUCUGGACGUUACACGUAUGGACUGUGGAGCCUCCUUCCUUGUGUUUCAUUUUUGGUUCUUUGUUUGUUUGUUCAUAGUACACCCUUAGUUGGACCCUAGAACUCUUAUUGAAUGUCAUCCAUUGCAAAUAAUUUUUUUUUCUGAGAAUUUUGGAUCCUCUAGCUGUUCAGCAUCUGUGCCAUCAUGUGUGUUUAAGGUCCUAAAGAAUUAUGCAACAGAAAAAUUUUUGGAAUAAUGUUCUGGAUGCUCUCAGAAGAGUAAUUUAAGUUCGGUAGUGUUUGAUAAUGAAAAACACAUGAAAUGAUGGAGUUGGAAGAAACAUAGAGAAAACUGCCUGCCCGAAGAGUUUUGUAUGUUUCCUAACUACUUUUUAUGUCCUGAGACGUAAAAAAGGACUGAGAACAGUUGUGUUUCUCUUGUUUUGUCUGGUUAUGCCAUGGGUAAAAAGGUGAUUGUUACAGAUGCUGUUGCUAGUUUAUAGUCAAUACUUUGUACAUAAACAAUUGUGGAGGAGAAAAUAUUAAAUAUGAACAUGGCCCUAAUCAGGGAAAAGAAAAAAACAAAACCAGAAAAAUCUUCAAUUUCUGAUAUAUAUAUUUAAGAAUGUGUUCAUUAAAUGUCUGCUGUAGUAUGAACAUU
rnacentral:lncRNA from 1 species